rnacentral:rRNA from 1 species
GACGAACGCUGGCGGCGUGCUUAACACAUGCAAGUCGAACGGAAAGGCCCUGCUUUUGUGGGGUGCUCGAGUGGCGAACGGGUGAGUAACACGUGAGUAACCUGCCCUUGACUUUGGGAUAACUUCAGGAAACUGGGGCUAAUACCGGAUAGGAGCUCCUGCUGCAUGGUGGGGGUUGGAAAGUUUCGGCGGUUGGGGAUGGACUCGCGGCUUAUCAGCUUGUUGGUGGGGUAGUGGCUUACCAAGGCUUUGACGGGUAGCCGGCCUGAGAGGGUGACCGGCAACAUUGGGACUGAGAUACGGCCCAGACUCCUACGGGAGGCAGCAGUGGGGAAUAUUGCACAAUGGGAGGAAGCGUGAUGCAGAAAAGCCGCGUGCGGGAUGACGGCCUUCGGGUUGUAAACCGAUUUCGACUGUGACGAAGCGUGAGUGACGGUAAUGGGUAAAGAAGCACCGGCUAACUACGUG